GUGAAGUUUUAUUCUUGCUUUUAUUUGUUCAAUUUUUGCUUGUUCUAUAUGUAAGUGUGUGCGUGAAUUUGCUUUGAGGUUCUUGAUGGGUUUAGGGCGUUAUGGGUGAUACUCCUCAUUAGUUAUUGUUAGGUGAUCAAGUAUUCUUGUAUUUAGCAAUGCAUUUUAGUUUCGGUUAAAUUUUGUGCCAGCAGCCGCGGUUAUACCUUGGAAGCAUUUGAACGGAGUUGGUAUUAAAGGUAGUUACAUGUAUAUUGUUUGGUUGAUUUUGUUUGGGUGGUUUAUGGGUGAAAUUUUUAUUGUUUUUGUUUGUCUUUAUUAUGUUUGGAGGCUAUGAAAUUCUAUUUUUAAACUAGGAUUAGAUACCCUAUUAUUUUAGAAUGUUAAGUUUUAUUUGUACCUGAGUAGUAAUAGUUAUGUUCUUGAAACUUAAAGAAUUUGGCGGUAUCUCAUUCCGUCUAGAGGAAUCUGUCCCGUUAUCGAUAGUCCACGUUGGACCUUACUUAUUUGAUUUUGGUUUGUAUACCGCCGUUUAUUGAUUAUCUUUUUAGGGUUAUAUUAAUUUUCUGGUUUCUUUAUUUUGAUAUAUUUCAGGUCAAGGUGCAGCUUGUUUUUAAGUGGAAUGAUGGAUUACAUUGUUAUUUGUUUAUGGAUUGUCGGUUUUAAUAUUGGCAUGAAAUUGGAUUUAGUUGUAAUAAUUUGUAGAUUGUUAUUAUGAUAAUUGGUUCUGGGAUAUGUACACAUCGCCCGUCGCUCUCGUUUAUUUUGAUGAGAUAAGUCGUAACAAAGUGGUUGUACCGGAAGGUGCGGCUGGAUUGAU
rnacentral:ncRNA from 1 species